rnacentral:rRNA from 1 species
UACGGGGGGAGCAAGCGUUGUUCGGAUUUACUGGGCGUAAAGGGCGCGUAGGCGGUCGUGACAAGUCACUUGUGAAAUCUCCGGGCUUAACUCGGAACGGUCAAGUGAUACUGUCGGACUAGAGUACAGAAGGGGCAACUGGAAUUCUCGGUGUAGCGGUGAAAUGCGUAGAUAUCGAGAGGAACACCUACGGCGAAGGCGGGUUGCUGGGCUGACACUGACGCUGAGGCGCGAAAGCUAGGGGAGCGAACGGG